rnacentral:rRNA from 1 species
UACAGAGGGGGCAAGCGUUGUUCGGAAUUACUGGGCGUAAAGGGCGCGUAGGCGGCCUUCUAAGUCGAACGUGAAAUCCCCGGGCUCAACCCGGGAACUGCGUCCGAUACUGGAAGGCUUGAAUCCGGGAGAGGGAUGCGGAAUUCCAGGUGUAGCGGUGAAAUGCGUAGAUAUCUGGAGGAACACCGGUGGCGAAGGCGGCAUCCUGGACCGGCAUUGACGCUGAACAGCGAAAGCCAGGGGAGCAAACGGG